UGGAAGCUGGACAGCAAAGGUUUGCGAAGUGACAGUAUCACCUUCCCCUUUUCUUCUAAUGCUGUUGGAACUUCUCAGUCUGAGUUAGCAUCAAUUACCCAGCCCACCUGGAGACAGCACUUCUCAUCGUUCCUCUGCCUUGAGGUUGUUCAAAGGCUCCAAGAGAAAAUCCAGCAGGGAGAGAAGGACGUUUUCAUCCUGAGAUGGCUCCGUUUGGAAGCCCCAG